rnacentral:rRNA from 1 species
UACGUAGGGUGCGAGCGUUAAUCGGAAUUACUGGGCGUAAAGCGUGCGCAGGCGGUUCUCCAAGUCCGUUGUGAAAGCCCCGGGCUCAACCUGGGAAUGGCAGUGGAAACUAGGGGACUGGAAUCUGGCAGAGGGGGGUGGAAUGCCGCGUGUAGCAGUGAAAUGCGUGGAGAUGCGGCGGAACACCGAUGGCGAAGGCAGCCCCCUGGGCUGAGAUUGACGCUCAGGCACGAAAGCGUGGGGAGCAAACAGG